UUCAUGACAUAUGGGAAAUAUAGGCAGUUCCGUUUUCAGUGUUUCUAAAUACAAUUUCAUUGGAUACGACUCCGCCCAUCCGUCUGCAGAUUGUUCCUUGUGGCUUUUGUUCUCCGCCACACAGAGUAGGGUACUUGCUAUGGAGACCAAAUGGCCCCCCGCCUGAAAUACUGGCUGCCCGGCCCUUUGCAGAAGUCGAUUGCUGACUCCCGUGUCAAACUUAUGGCAGAACUGGAAUGACUUCAACCCUGUAAAGAUGCCACAUAUAAGUGAUAUCGUAUGAUGUCUAACUUUGAGAAAGAGACUCAGAAUUUUGAGCCAGAAGAAAUAGGGAGAACACACGGAGCCCCACGGAGAUGGGGUCAGAUCCUCCCCUUCUUUCAUCCGAAGGCUCUGGAGCCGCUGAACCCGCCCCUGCUCACCUUGAUCCCACAGUGCGCAGGCGCCCUCCAACCCGCCACUCCGGGCCAUCCGCCACAACUGUGUGGCGCGAAGAGGUGGCCACACUGCCCUCUUGCCGGAAGCCCUCCUGGGGUUCCCAACAGUCCAUGAUCUGUUAAAUCCUUAUGGAAGAAAGUAAGUGGAAAGCCUAGUCGAGUCUACGUGGCCUCAGUGAAGUUGGACAGUGGGUCACAUGAUCCAAGGAGAGUGAAAACGUGUGCUGUUCAUUGCGAUGCUUCCUUUCAUGAUGCUCACCAUCCAGACACUAAGAAACACACCUGGAGCCCUUCUGCUGGCUAUGAUGGGCACGCUCUCCAUCCACUCUCAUGUCUUACAGCCACUGGCCACAUGUGGCUACUGAGCUGUGAAGACGAGGCUGAUGUGACUGAGGAACUAAAUUUUGAACUGAAAUCACUUUUAGUUAAUUGAAAUUUAAACAGCCACAAGUGGCUAAUUGCCACUUUUUUAACCUAUGUGGCUCUAGAAGAUACUUAGAUCUGCUUCUCCGAUGUUUUAGUUACUAUAGCCUAAAUAUAAUAUUAAAAAAAAAAACAAAAAACAAAACCGCAAUGACUGUCAAUGCAGUUGUUGCCAGAUAAGUGCUAGGGCUUAACUGUCCCCACCAAUGCUUCCUUCAGGAUUCUUUUAGCCCUUCUCUUCAAUUAAAUACAGCUCUGGCCUCUAAUCAAGACUACUGGACCAAAAGCCACAGUUGCCAGAGUCAAGAGAUCCCUUCAGCCUCAAUGUGAGGCUGUCUUCCAACACAGCAAAGGAAUAAAUUCAGUAGUAACAUUGAAAAUUUUCAAAUAAAGGUAUUUUAAAAAUAUUUAUGAAUUCUUUCAACAAUGACAAAAAAUAUUAGAAGCCCAAUAUAAGGGAGGCAGUAUUAUUCUAGGCAUUUGGGAGGCGACAGCGAGCAAAUUAGAAAAGGAUCCUUGACUUUCUCAAGAUUACAUUUUAGUUGAGAUAUCCAGUCAAUAAAUAUAAAUAAAUAGAAUACAUGAGUAGCAUUAGAAGCACUACUUUGAAAGAAGUGGCACAGGAUAAGGAAACAGUGAUAUUUGAGCAAAGAUUGAAAGAUAGGGAAAGAGACAAUGAUGUCUGGGGAGGGUCUGAGCUAGAGAUGGUAGAGUGGCGUCUGCCCAGCAGAACUUGGAUGAGGGGUAGAGUGCCUCCAUGGACUGCAUCUUCCUAGAUUGAUGGCACUUUUAUACUGAAUAACUUUAACCUUCCCCCUUUUAUCUCCUGGCAAAGAGUACAAGGGAGCAUAACAAACACAUGGCACCCUCUUGGCUCCCAUGGGUCUAGUCAGCGCCACACCUUAAGAAUGGGGGAACGUUCUAGACAUUAUUUCCUCCUGGAUCAUGAGAUGAUGGCUCUGAAUGAUUUCCAAGGGCACCUUCCAAGGAAUGUUACGGCUACUGGAACCAAGGGCCAGUGAGCGUUAUUGUCUCUGUCGUGGGGGCUGGAAGUCCCAGAUGGAGAUGUCAGCGGGGUCAGUCCCUUCCGAGGGCUGUGAGGGACAGUCUGCUCCCUACCUCUCCCCUGGCUUCUCUGGAGUUGCAGGCAAUCUCUGGUGAUCAUAGGCUUGCCCCAGCCCCACCUCCAUCCUCACAUGGCAUUCUCCUCGUGCCUCUGCCAACCCUUCCUUUUUUAUUAGGACACAGUCACAUCGGAGAAGAGCCCACUUUCCUCCAGUGUGACCUCCUUCUAGCUCAACUUACUGCAUCUGCAAAGUCUCUAUUUCCAAAUACGUCCUACCUUCUCAGGUGCUAGGGGUUGGUACUUGAACAUAUGAAUUUGAGGGGAACUCAACUCACCUAUAACACAAGCUAAAGACGAUGAACCUGAAAGACUGCCCCUGGCUAUACCUGCUCCAUAUUCUUCAUCCAGCUGGGAGCCACUCGACAGGUGUUUCUCCCAAAUCACUUCCUUCUCUACCCACAGGUGGUCAUUACAAGAGUGCCUUAUGGAAGAGCUUCAAAAAUCAUGCCGACAUGAAAGACACUGAUAUUAUCGCAAUUUUUAAUGUAAAAGAGAAAAAAAAGUCUCAUUUGGAUCUCUUUUCUUCUAGAAAUGGAUGUCUAUUUUCAAAAUAUUGCACUGGCAGCUUCAGCAGAAGCAAUCUAUCGCCCGCAAAGGGGGAGCUGAGCCAACAAAUGCAUGCAGAUAUCAAUACAAGUCUGGGAUUCUACAUAAGCAGAGGGAGAGCUGACAGGGAGCUGGGCAGCCUGCCACCCAGGCGCUCUCUUAUAAAGAGUGUUCCGUUUCCCUUACAAAAUAAGAAGGGGCUGUGCUUGAUAUUCACAGAAGUUGGGGCAGAAGAACUAUCUAGUUCAUUCUUUUUUAAAAUGUGUUUCAUUUCUUAGCUUUCUUUUGUUGGGAUACUUUCUUUUUCAUAUAUAAAUUUUAUUGGAGCAUAGUUAACUUACAAAGUGGUUAUAAGUUAGUUUCAGGUAUAUGGCAAAGUAGAUCAGUUAUACAUACAUAUAAUAUAUAUCCAUUCCUUUUCAGAUUUUUUUCCCCUUAUAUGUUAUUACAAAGCAUUGAUUAGUCCUUCUUACCUGUCCUUCGCAUACACGGUAGUGGAGUAACUUGCCCUUGGCAUGGAUCCAGCUAGAGAAAUAACAAUUCUGUAGUUUUCAGAAUUGAUCAAGGCAGUGUGUUCUUAUGCUAAAAUGGGGAAGGUUGUGUUUUUACUUCUACUUUAUAGAUCAAUAAACAGAAAGCCUAAGUGACUUAUUCAAGGCCACACAGCUUUUAAAUGGCAGAGGUGGGGUUAGAAAUCAUUCCUUCAGAGGGUUGAAAAAUUCAUAUUCUUUCCAUCGGCUCCAGCCUUGAAAACCCGGUUUGAAAUAUGAAAGUCAGAUGGAACAAAGACACUCCAAGAUCAAUACAUUUCUAAUUAAGAAAGGCACACACACAAAAAAACAACUCAGAAACUUCCUAAAGACAUAAAGAUUUUUAAAACCAUCCACCUGCGUGAAAGUUUUGAUUAUAGGAUUAGGAACACCAAAGGGCAUUUGACAGUUGACUAAGUGUUUUCACACUUAAGAUCUCAUUUAAUCCUCAGAAGUUUAUGGGAUGGUUUCUUAUUUUAUAACAAGGAACUCAAAGCCCAAGAUGGUAAAAGACGGAGUUCACGUGUCACUGACAAGGUGUGGUUUAGUAGAGCUCAAACUUGUAUUAAAGCAAAGACAAAUAUGAAGUCCCCUAAUCUACCCAUAUCCUUUCCCAUUUGUUUACAUUGAUCCUGGCCCUUGAAUGAAGCAGGCAGGCCAAUGAAAAACACUUAUAACCACAUAUCAUGGCUCUUUGCUGUGCAGCUGGCCCUCUCGUGACCCUUCCUCACCAUUGCUUUGGGACUCUGCUCCUGGUGACCCUGAAGGCUUUUCUAGAACUGGUCUUGCCUGGGGCGCUAUGGGGUGCAGAAUGCAGGAUACUGGGGGGGGGGAACCCUCUUCUCUGCCGUCGCUGCCUUGCUCCAUUUUUCUCCAAUCCCUUGGCUUUGGUUAAGGGACAGUCUCUCUCCCCAUAUCCCCACCCCCGGCCACCCGAGCAGCCCACACCAGCUCACAUGGCUGCCUUUUCAACCCUCUGCCUCCCACGUGGUGGGAGCACAGGCAGGGCUGGGUCGUCUGGAGGCUGGGUGCUCACACUCUUCUCUUCCUUGUUGGGCUAAGUAUGGAUGAUGUUUCCCCUCAGGGCUCAGAUCCACACCUUGAAAAGCCCAUAAACACGACUCAAAGCGAAGGAGGGAGAAGGGCACUUAGUGUGUCCUCGUCCUUCAGGAGGGGUACCCUUCUAAGGCUGGCCUAAGUGACCUCUGAGUGUCCACGCUUCUGUUUUUUCCUUGAGUUUGUGGACACUUAAAGGGCAGGAGCGCAGCCCCCGCCUCAUGUUUGGAUGUUCAGCAUCUAACACUAAUAGACAUUUGGGGUUUUUUUUUGUGUGUGUGUCUUUUUUUGUCUUUUGAGGGCUGCACCUGUGGCAUAUGGAGGCUCCCAGGCAAGGGGUCUAAUCAGGACUGUAGCUGCCAGCCUACACCGCAACCACAGCAACGCCAGAUCCGAGCUGCAUCUGCGACCUAUACCUCAGCUCACCAGAUCCUUAACCCACUGAGCGAGAACAGGGAUUGAACCCGAAACCUCAUGGUUCCUAGUCGGAUUCGUUGCUGCUGCAACAUGACAGGAACUCCAGGGGAUUUUUUUUUAAAGAGGAGAUACGUGAAUGGAUCUAUAACUGAGUGGGUAGAUUCUGUGAUGUGGCCUGUGGAGCAUGUGCUGUAGGAAAUCUCUUGAGGUGGAAAGCAAGGUGAAAUAUACCAGCUGGUGUAGAGCACAGAGAAAUGUUCUAGAAGUUGGAAGAUGGGGCUUGUUGUGCGAGGUCUGGAGGACCUAUGGGCUAAAUCCAUCCUAGAAUUUACUAGCAGGGAAAAAUGCUUUCUCUCCCAGGAAGCAAUUAUUGUACUUUUUCUUUGUCAAGGUAAUAAAAAUUUUUACAUCCAUCCCAUCUCUUUUGUAGUUUGGCCUUAUAAAGUGUAGGGUUAAAAUUAAUGCAACAGAUGAUUCCAUUUUAGAGCAUAGGAGUGAAAAGAGAAUGUAUCUUCCUGGUCCCCCAAGGGUUCUUUUAUUUUGAUCUUAUAUGUAUUAUAAGCAUACUCUCUCAUAUACAUAUGAAGAGAGUAUGAAAGACAGAGGAAUCCUUACACAUAUACACUCCAUACAUUAUAAGGAUCCUUAUAUAUAUAAGGAAGUAUAUAUGCAUACAUUUCCGAGAAAACUUAUGCUUUUUGUCUAUAUAAAGACUACACUUAUUUAGGAAGUAGGGUUAAAGUUAUACCUCAGACUGAGCUCUUCUUUGUAUUUCUUCGGAUUGUUGGCCUGAAUUUAGUGUUGAUGCACAGCCUCAUACAGAAUAUUCUUUUUAUCUCUGCUGCAUGGGCGUUCUCACGGGUCCGCCUGGGCCUACAGCAGCUAGAUUUAACCAGUGCAGAAUUAUCACCCGUAUAUGAGAUGAUUUUGAAUUCUUUCUACACCUUUUUACACCCCCCAAAUGUAUUCCAGUUUGUCUGGUUGGGCACUGCAAUUACUGUUUAUUUUUAUUCUAUACUUUUCCAAGUUAGCUAAUUAUAGAUGUACUGUGUUUUUGAGUGAGAUCAGUCGUGGGAAAAACUUAUUAUAGCAUCCAUAAAUUAUAAGGGAGAGGAAACUGAGGCCUGGGCAAGGAAGAUGAGAGGUGAGAGGUGACUGCGCAAGUUAGAGGCAGUCCUGGUCAAAGAGCAGAGUGCUUUGCCUUCUCUGUUCCACGCUCUUCCAGUCUCAGCCUGCUCCCACCAGAGCCUCAGUGAGCCUUCCUCUCUCAUGCUCCAAAACUCCAUGACUGUGUCUGAUUAAAGCGGUCACCUAUUCAUUCUCAUUUUUAUUCGUACCAAUGCACACCCAACCAACACUUGAGCCCCAGACCCUGAGUGAGCCUCUACUUAGAGAGCAUCUCGCUUAGCCUGACAGCAGCAUCACCACUUUAACAUCUCAUCCCCACUUUACUAACAAGGAAGCUGGAGUUUCACAUAGUAAAUAGCGCAUCUGUCAUGCAAUGUCAGGUCUGCCUUCCGCUCAAGGCGAUGCAGGUUCAACACCAAGGGUCAUGACCUCUGCCCACAUAAAACCUGGUUUUACACCUUGGGCUUUUGGUUUUUAAAUUAGGUGAGAAACUUGAGUGUGUGAUGCGAGAGGUCAGGCAGUGGUCAUCCUUAGAGGGUGAUCAUGACUGAGGCUGCACAAGGGGACCCCUGGCUGCUACGAAUGUUUGUUUCCCAUCUGGGUGUUUAGAACGUGGCUGUAUCAACCUCGUGAAAAUUCGCUGAGCUGCUAGGAUUUGCAUAUUUUUCCAAGUUUAUUUACAUUUUAUUUUUUUUUUUUAGUUAAAGUAAAAAUGUAAAAGAUGUAUUUGUCUGGAUGCUAAGCAUUUGGUCCCCUGUUUUACUCUUUCUACCUCUGUAGACAAUGGGUACAUUCAAAGAUGUCCCUUGUUCCACAGCUUCCAAGAGGGAUUUACCAACCACCUUUUUCAUCCCAUCAUGCACUCUUCCUGGCCUCGGGAAGCAGCAGUGCUCUUUCUCCAGUUACUUCCCUACCCUGUCACCAGGCCCUUCCUAGCUGCCCCUGGUUUUCUCAUUUCUUCCCCUCCAGGCAUUUCCUGCUUCCUUUCCUGCAUCUUCUGUCCCAUCCCUUCAGCCUCACUGAUGGACAGGCUCCUUUGUGCCACAUGGUACCGUGGGCCUCCUUUGGAAGACUGUCCCAGCUAAUCAUUUCAUGUGCGCAGCAGGAGUCCGGCCUCCCCACAGAGCCUGAGCCCAAGCUCCACCCUCCUUCCCUGAUGCCCCAUCUCCACCCCUCCCCCAACAGGCUCCUACUGCUUAGACCUGCAGGGACUAACGGGCUUCAGUGUCUGCCCAGUCCCACCUGCAUGACUGAGCCAGUCCUGACCUGCAGGGAGUGGCAGGGCUAUGGACGCAUUCGAUUCUAACAUCCCAUCAAAUAACUAGGCUUCUCUGUUGGCUCCCUUAUGUCUGAAGUGUCAGUUUCAAUAUUUGCUUAACGUACACCUUCAGGAAUGCGGCAAGUAUCAAAAUAGGCUUGGAAAACAGCAGUGACCACAGACUUAGAGAGCAGACUUAUGGUUGCCAAGGGGGAGGGGGAACGGAGUGGGAUGGACGGGGAGUUUGCGGUUAGUAGAUGCAAACUGUUACAUUUAGAAUGGAGAAGCAAUGAGGUCCUAAUGCAUAGUCCGGGGAACGACAUCCAGUCUCUUGGUAUAGACCAUGAUGGAAGAUGAUAGAAGAAAAGAAAUGUGUAUGUAUAUGUGUGUGGGUGUGUGGGUGUAUGCCUGGGUCCCUUUCCUGUAAGCAGAAAUUGGCACAAUGUUGUAACUCACCUGCACUUAAAAAAAUGCCAAAAUCAAAACAAAACAACCAAAACCACAGCAGUGAUAACAAUGGAAACAGUGUCAGGCACAGGUUCAGCCUUCUAACUGACCGAGCUCCGGGCUUGUCCAUCCAUCCCAGCUUGGUGGUAGGGAGCCGAAGGCUAAGCGUCUGUCCUCAGGGAGCUCACAGUUUCAAGAAAAAGGAAAAUAAAACACAGACAUCCAAACAAUCAGCCCUGGAAAAUGUCUGUGCUUGAUUAAUACUUUGCAGCUAAACCCACUUCAUUUCCUGGCCUUUAUUGAAUUUAUUUUUAUAACAACCCUGGUGGGUAUAUGUUGAUUCUUCUCUUUUAACAGAGGAAACUGAAUUCCACCAGAAGGAACUCUUUCACCUGGGAUGAGGAAUUUGAAUCCGGAUUUUUUAUUGGGGUUGCUCUUUGUUUGCUUGUUUGUGUGCUUUUGUUCCUAAAGCCUAGUUUUUAAUCUCAUUUGAACCCAGCAUCAUAGAUGGCUGGUUAUCCAUCUGGGAAACUCAAGACGACCUAACACUUUUCUAAGAAGGGGCCAUCACCCUUGUCUGUGACAUUUCCUUCCAAGCUGUGACAUCAUUUUGUCAGCUUUGUUGCUCAUGGUUAAUUCUCCAGGGAAGACCCUUUGCUUCACUAAUAUCCAAAUAAUGUCCCACUUCUCUGUUUCUGUGCCUUGCUGUGCCCUCAGAUGUCUUUUUGUUUUAAUGCUGAAUCAUAGCAUAAUCUCCUUGAAGAUAUUUUGAAGGCAGUUAAAGUCAACGUGUGGAAUGCUAAUAACAUACCUAACGAACUGAAGUGGUGAAAAAUAGGUACAGCUCUGAUCCCACGUGUGACCACAAAAAAGACUACAGCACAACUGCCACCCUCGGGCUAACGGCGAUUUUAACAUGCAUUCUGACUUCAUAGAUGGUAAAAUAUGACAAAGGUGCGACUUAGAGUGAAUGAAAUAUGGCAUAAAUUUUUCUCUAGGAAAUCUGCUUUUUCCGGGUAGCCUGUGAGAUCCUUUCAAAAACUGAGUCUCACCCAUGCAUACUUGGCAUCGAGGAAGCUGAAAGAAAAGAACAGGCAGCUAGCAUUUCUUAGCCCUGGACCAUGUGCCGGGUAAGGGGUUACCUGCUGUCCCGUAGGUUGUUUAGUUGGCCCAUCACAACCUUCCAAGGGUGAGCAGCAUUUGCAUCAUCACACAGAGUAUUUUUAAAAACCAGAGUGGCACACCUAGAGUACUUAAAGUCUCCUACAAUGCUUGCAAUAAAAUGUCUGCUUGUGAAAUGAGUGAGUACACAGAGACGAAAUAACUUGGUCACAAUCAAGCAGCUAGUUGAUACCAAACCAAAAACUGAUCCUUGGCUCAUCUGACUCAAAUCUCAUGAUUCUGGCAGCAUGCCAGUCUAGCUUUCAGUGGAUCUAGCAAUGAAUGGGAGCCAAAAAUGUCUACUAAAUGAGUUGAAAGUUUGCAGGAAAAAGGUGGGAAAGAGGGAAGGAGAGGAAAGGAGGGGGAAAGAAGGAAGGAAGGAUGGAUGGAUGGAUGGAUGGAUGGAAGGACAGGAAAAAAUAGGAAGAGGACAAGAAAAAAAUGGAAAAAGAGGAUGAAACAAGGAAGAAAGCUGCCAGCAAUGGCUAAACAUUAAGUAACUAGAUUGGAUGGAUUCUGUUUUCACAAAGCCAAUGCUGGCUUUCUUCUAGAUUUUACUAGUUUUAUAGUGAUCCUAGAAUGUUCUCUAAACAUCAGAUUUUGAAAACACAGCUACAAUUGCCUCUUGUUUUCAAGGUCUUGACCACCUGAGGAUUAGCAAGUAAUCCAGUUGCUCACCGUGAGCUGAAGGAAUCAAUACCCAGGAACACACCUCACUGGUCAGCUAUGUGAGUGUGAAGCACUCGGGAUUUUAUAUCGGGUGUGCAUGCACUUAAACUGAUAACUCAUUGAAAAAGUAUGUGGUGAGACUCCUGGACAUUAUAUAUCCAACCCACUAAAUACUUAGACUCGAGCAUUAACCCCACAGAAGAAGUGGGGAUGCUCCAACCCAGAGGAAGAUAAGUUUUGAGCAUUUUAACCAAGAUCCAAUACAGCGGGAGUGGAGAGACAUUAUUACCCUAGGCAAACAUUUUCCUUCUUUUUAAUUUUUCUUCUUUAUCAGUGGCACCCAAGGCGUAUGGAAGUUUCCUUGGCCAGGGGUCAAAUCUGAGCCGCAGCUAUAACCUACACCACAACUGUGGCAAUGCCAGAUCCUUAACCCAAUGUGCCACACUGGGAAUUUCCUCUUUACUCUUCUUAUUCAAUAAUUCUUCUGGUCCCUUAGUUCCAGCUGAAGUUCCCAUUUGGGUCAAAAAGUUCUUGAUAUGCAAAAAUAGUGGUAGUGAAAGGAGAAUUGGAAUAGGGGUCAGGAGAACCAGUUCUAGGCUGAGUCCUGCUCCUGACAGACUCUCUCCUUGAGGGAACUCCAGCCAGGCUCCUCCAAGUUCCCUGCUGGACUCAACCUCUGGAUUUCAACCUUGGCCUAUACAGACUUGGACAAACACCAACACAGUUUCUAGUGGCUCAAACCUGCAGCCAUAGGAUGCCUGUUGCUCCCUGGAAAGUGUCUCCCUGGCAAAACUCAAGACUGCUAGAAGAAUUGACUGUGUGCUCCAGCCGCCACAUGAAGAUAGGACCCCUGACCCCCAGCCUGUGUGGGAGGGGAGAGCCUAAUUCCUCUGAGCCCUGGUUUGCAGACCCAGAUGGGUUUCAUAGGGAAUGACAUGCACCUUCCCUCUUUCUGUCCAUUUUUACUGUCCUGCCCCGUCAAACCCCUCUCAUCCCACUCCCUCGCCCCUCUUUCUGCCUUUAAAGUGCCCAGCCACCUCUGCUCAAAAGAAGGUCCAGUUCACACUGGACUCUUUCCCCAUCACAAUAAUAUAUUACUGAUUAACACCUGUCCUUACAACUUAACAUUGACCCCAGCUUUGUUUAUCUUUGACGCUACACAACGCACUUGCCACAUGACCUUGGACAAAACGCUUCACCCCUCCAGAUCUCCUUAAAAUCAAGGAUCUAAGUAUUGAGAGAUUCAGGGACCCUGCUAAACAGAUAAUAUCGUUCUGCCUCCUCAAUGUCUGCAGGUGGUAAUGAAUCACUGAGGAGAAUUUUCUGUACUCCCAGAAAUGCCACUUUGCAUUUAAACAACAGGUUUUAACUGAAUCAUACAGUAAUACAGAUUCCUGGUAGGAAGUUGGAAAUUAAGAAAUAAAAGAAAACUGUGGAAGAGAAGGAAAGAUAAUCCCAUCAUGCAGAGAUAACUUUUAUAACUAUCUGGAUGUAUCGUCUCCAAUAUUUGUUAUGCAUACAGAUUUAUAAUAUUUGUUAUGCAUACAGAUUUAUAAACAUAUUGCACAGACAUGUACAUUUAGCUUUUUUUUUUUAACGUAUUACUUUGAACAAACUCCCAUGUCAUUAGUCUUUGAAAAAUCUGGUUUUUCAUAAAAUGCCAUCCAAUGGAUUGACUACCGUUAAUGUGAAUAUUUUUCCGUUGUUGGUCUUUUCAGUUAUUUUGAUUAUUUUCUUUUUACAAAAAUGCUACUAAGAGCAACUGCACACAUGGGUAUACACAUAUAUUUAUGCUUUUACAAAUAACAUAUCAGAAGGAUCAUACGACUAAUUUAAAGGACUGGGACCAGGGAUGGGGGGAUGUGCUUGGGCUGUGGGAUGGAAAUCCUGUGAAAUUGGAUUGUUAUAAUCAUUAUACAACUACAGAUGUGAUAAAUUCAUUUGAGAAAUUUAAAAAAAAAAGAAAAAUAAAGGACUGGGACCAAUUUUGAUUUGUCUUGCAGAAAGGUUGCAGCAAUUUGCCAGGCUCGGACAUUAUGAGAAAAUUCACAGUCACAUUAAAGCUCACGUGAUAACAACGGCAAAACUCCACGGCACAUUCUUUUUACCUACUAGGAGAAAAUCGUCUGUUACUGAUGUGUUAACAAUCAUGUCUUUGAUUACUAUUAAGAUUGC